GACGGAGGAUGCAAGCGUUAUCCGGAAUGAUUGGGCGUAAAGCGUCUGUAGGUGGUUUAUUAAGUCUACUGUUAAAGAUCAGGGCUUAACCCUGAGUCGGCAGUAGAAACUAAUGAGCUUGAGUACGGUAGGGGCAGAGGGAAUUCCCGGUGUAGCGGUGAAAUGCGUAGAGAUCGGGAAGAACACCAAUGGCGAAAAGCACUCUGCUGGGCCGAAACUGACACUCAGAGACGAAAGCUAGGGGGAGCGAAUGGG
rnacentral:rRNA from 1 species